AUGGAGGCGGCCGGGGCGGGCGCGGAGAGGGCCGAUGCGGCGGCGGCCGGGGCGGGCGCGGAGAGGGCCGAUGCGGCGGCGGCCAAGGCCAGGGAGGACGAGGUUGCAUCCAUCAGCGAGAAGCGGCCAAUCCACCUGCGUGCCGUCACUGCAGGGAUAGCGAAGGUCAGCGAGAAAGGUCAUCGUGGGGGCACACCGCCGUCUCCCUCUCCCCUGGUGGCACCUCCCUAUAUGUUGAGGUUGGUCCUGGAAUGGUUGGCUUUGGGACUUUUGGUGGCAGUAUAUUCUUAUGCCGACGACAAGCAUUUGCAGGACGAUUAUGUACCAUUGAUUGUGCCUCAGCUUCGUAGCCGAUCUUCGAUCGUCCAUGGCAUCAACACACAAAUUGAUAAUGCAAGCCUCAGGUCAAUACCUCCCCUAUUUGAUUUCUGCGGCAGAGUACUAAUAACUUUAUUGUUUGUGUUUUUGGAUAAGAUUUGCAUGGUAUUUCUAUCAUUGGUUGAUUGCUUGGAUACUUUCACUAUAGUAGUUGUUCUGCCUCAUCUAUCACUAUCUGCAAGCUUACUUUGA
rnacentral:rRNA from 1 species